AGUCUACGAUGGUUAGGGGGCCUGAGAGGGUGGUCCCCCACACUGGUACUGAGACACGGACCAGACUCCUACGGGAGGCAGCAGUGAGGAAUAUUGCGCAAUGGACGAAAGUCUGACGCAGCCAUGCCGCGUGUAGGAUGACGGCCCUACGGGUUGUAAACUGCUUUUAUACAGGAAGAAAACUUUCAACGUGUUGAGAGUUGACGGUACUGUAGGAAUAAGCAUCGGCUAACUCCGUGCCAGCAGCCGCGGUAAUACGGAGGAUGCAAGCGUUAUCCGGAUUUAUUGGGUUUAAAGGGUGCGUAGGCGGAAUAAUAAGUCAGUGGUGAAAUCCUGCAGCUUAACUGUAGAACUGCCAUUGAUACUGUUAUUCUUGAAUAUAGUUGAGGUAGGCGGAAUGUGUAAUGUAGCGGUGAAAUGCAUAGAUAUUACACAGAACACCGAUUGCGUAGGCAGCUUACUAAGCUAUUAUUGACGCUGAGGCACGAAAGCGUGGGGAUCGAACAGGAUUAGAUACCCUGGUAGUCCACGCUGUAAACGAUGAUCACUAGCUGUUGGCGAUACACCGAUCAGCGGCAAAGCGAAAGCAUUAAGUGAUCCACCUGGGGAGUACGGUCGCAAGAUUGAAACUCAAAGGAAUUGACGGGGGCCCGCACAAGCGGAGGAACAUGUGGUUUAAUUCGAUGAUACGCGAGGAACCUUACCUGGGCUUAAAUGCAGGACGACGAACUGGGAAACCAGUUUUCUCUUCGGAGCGGACUGCAAGGUGCUGCAUGGCUGUCGUCAGCUCGUGCCGUGAGGUGUCGGGUUAAGUCCCAUAACGAGCGCAACCCCUAUCGUUAGUUGCCAGCGGAUCAUGCCGGGGACUCUAACGAAACUGCCGGUGUAAACCGAGAGGAAGGUGGGGAUGACGUCAAAUCAGCACGGCCCUUAUGUCCAGGGCUACACACGUGUUACAAUGGUCGGUACAGAGGGUAGCUACUAUGUAAAUAGAUGCCAAUCUCGAAAACCGGUCUUAGUUCGGAUCGAAGUCUGCAACUCGACUUCGUGAAGCUGGAUUCGCUAGUAAUCGCGCAUCAGCCACGGCGCGGUGAAUACGUUCCCGGGCCUUGUACACACCGCCCGUCAAGCCAUGGAAGCUGGGGGUACCCGAAGUCUGUAACCGCAAGGAGCGGCCUAGGGUAAAACUAGUGACUGGGGCUAAGUCGUAACAAGGUA
rnacentral:rRNA from 1 species